rnacentral:rRNA from 1 species
UACGGAGGUGGCAAGCGUUAAUCGGAAUUACUGGGCGUAAAGCGCACGUAGGUGGCGACGUAAGUCGGGUGUGAAAGCCCCGGGCUCAACCUGGGAAUUGCAUUCGAGACUGCAUUGCUGGAGUACGGAAGAGGAAGGCGGAAUUCCCAGUGUAGAGGUGAAAUUCGUAGAUAUUGGGAAGAACACCGGUGGCGAAGGCGGCGAGCUGGUCUGAUACUGACGCUGAGGCGCGACAGCGUGGGGAGCAAACAGG